CCAAAGCAUCCUUUGAAGCAAAACAUUACAUAGAAUGCAAUUCGUUCUCACUGUGUCUCUCUUCUCCUGGAAACUAUUACUGAAGAUAAAUCAGUUAUGUGUAUGAGAAGCAGGGCGAUAUCUCCGGCCCACUUCUUUGACAGGUUCUCUUGUUGCUGAUGCUGAGAAACUCCAGGAGCCUGCUAUUUGUAGAGAGAAGUGUGUUCCAGCUGCUGGUGCUAACAAAGAUCUGAGACCAAGAAAGGAUGGGAAGAAGGAGAAGAAAAAUUUUGAUUUAUCUCAGAAACUAUACUCCGAAGUGAGAGUCCUGGUUGCAGGUGCAACUGAAGGACUAUGGCUAUGGUAGCUGCCCAGGAAGACUGGCCAUCCGAUUCAUGCUUGUGCAGUCCUUGGACUUUUAGAUCUACCAGGAUCAUCACAUUUUGGAGUUCUCAGUCCUGUGUACAAAGUCCAACUAUCUGAGGCCACCAUGCACUUAGGAUGUCCAGGCCACCUGGAGAGGCUACCAGAUAUGUGUAUGAAGAAGUUGUCUUGAAAGUGGAUCUUCCAGCCCAUGUUAUUCUAGCUACAGCUGUUUGAGUCUCCUUGUACAAGCCCCAGACAUCAUGGAAUGGAGAAGAGCUGAGCCACGGUGUCCUCUCCAAAUUCUCAAUCCACAAAACUCAUGAAAAUAAUAAAAUGAUUGUGUCUUUGUGCUACUAAAUUUAGGGAAAUUUGUUAUUCAGCAAAGAUGAUUAGAACAAGAGACCACAAUUUGACUAUCAUAUUUCAGAAAUGACACAGAUCCAGAGAGGUUAAAUAAAUCAUUUUAUUCAAAUGAAGA
rnacentral:lncRNA from 10 species